CGAACACCACCAAAUUUCCACCGAUCCCCCCACCCCGACCCCAUUCCCCCACGCCGCCGCCGCCCGCAACGAAAACGAGACCAAAUUCCCCUCACGCCUCCUCCUCCUCCUCCUCGGUUAUGCGGUGAUGGCGCGGUGCCCCGGCGCGGCGGGCGUGGCGGAGCGGUGGACGGCGCGGGCGCUGGCGGGCGCCGUCCUCGACGUCGCGCUCGUCUGGGCCUGCCUCUGGGUCGCGGCGCCGCCUCCGCCGCGGCCAGCGCCCUCGCCCUCCUCGGCGUACCCCUCCCCUGCACCUGCGCCCGCCCCCACCUCCCCUGCCUCCUCGCCUUCCUCUCCCGCUACCCCUCCCGCGCCCUCGCCUCCCUCGCCUCCGCCCUCCUCUCCCGCUUCCCCUUCGCCUCCUCCUGUUCCCCCUCCCCCUCCUCCGACGACGACCACGGCGUCGAACACGAGGAAUCGGGCCGCGUCGAUGGGGUGGAGGAGGUGGACGAGCACCCGGCCGACGACGGCGAGGUGAGGCGGGAGGCGGUGGUGGUGGAGGAGGAGCGGGACGCGCGCGCCGCGCUGCAGCGGGAGCUGGAGAAGGAGCGGAGCGCCGCGGCGUCGGCGGCCGAGGAGGCGAUGGCCAUGAUCCUGCGCCUGCAGAAGGAGAAGUCGGCGCUCGAGAUCGAGGCGCGCCAGCAGCGCCGCACCGCCGACGAGCGCUGCGCCUUCUACGAGGACGAGGUGGAGGAGCUCCGGGACAUCGUGCUCGUGCGGGAGCGCGAGUCCCGCGCGCUGCAGAAGGAGGUGGACGCCUACCGCCGCCUCCUCGGCCUCGCCGCCGAGGACGGCGACGACGACGACGAUGAGGAUGAUAUGAUGACGCCUCCUAGCACCAUGGUGGAGGGCGAGCCAAGCACGUCCAGAUCUGUGUAUAAGGAUAGUAGAAAUGGCGCGAUGCCGCAAUUGGGGAAUGACUAUGGGUUCAGCUUGAAGACGCCGUUUUCGCCCCAAGAACUACUGUCACCUAUUAAAGUGGGUCAUAUCAAAGGGAUCAAUGAGGAUAAGCUGUCUGCUGGGCCAUCUGAGAAAAUUCCCAUGGUUGGAUUGAAACCAGAGGUUGAUAGCUCCAAGGAUGAUCGCGUGGAGACGAUUGAAAUCCUUCCACUAUCUGCUCGAAGCUUAGAUCAGGUUGGUUAUGGUGAAGUUGUUGCUGCAGUUGAUACAAAAGCUCCAGAGCAACUGCCUCAUGAGUUUCAGGAGGAGUGUGGAGGUGUAGACAAGAUUGGUGGUGAUUCUACGGGAAGUGAGAAUGAUGCGAAUAUCUAUGAUGUGCAUGUGGUUGAUGAUAUAUGCUUCCCAACUGAAGUUAAAGGCCUGAUUUGCCGAAGUUUCUCAGAUGCAACAAUGCAAGCAGAGAAGUUACAAAACAGAGUUGCUGCAGAUGAUCUCCUUGGGAAAAGUCUGAAUGCCAUUAAAGGUGCACAAGACAAGAUAAAGCAUGCAGCAAGUGAAAGAAAGCAAUCAUUACAGCUGCAACUCUUAGAGGACAUAGCUAACCAACUUCAGGAAAUCAAGGUUGCUGCAGAAGCAGGGCGACAGCUGCAUUGUGCUUCCCCUAGAAAUUUGAAGAAAAGCUAGGACAGGCAUAUUUUGGCAUCAACGGUGACACGGUUGAUGGUGUACAUGUUUGUUUUGAUUUUUGGUCUGUUGAUUUCGUGGCAUGGUUAAGGUUUGUUUGUUCUUUUGGUUACAUAAUUUUGGUUUGUUAUUGAUGUACAUGUACAUAAAAGGUAGAUUUGUUUGUUGUUUGCAAUCCUAUCUGCUUUAAACGAAUUACACGUUUUUAAACGACAUCUGGGGAUGUAGGGUUAACUUCGUAAUUCUGCAUCCACUAGAAUUGAGUUCCUCCUUUGUAACAGGAAAACUAGAUCCUAUUUUUACUUUCAGUAGCAGUAGAAACUAUUCUGAAGACUUGGCAGAAGAAAAUAGGGUACUUGGCAGAAGAACACAUAGUUGAUCAAUACCAUACUUCUCAGCAAAUGUUGAAUGCUUCACCAGAUUAUAUAUACUAAUAUGCAUUGUCACAGUUACAGCCA